CAUCUAUAGGCCAGGCCUAUGCUAGUUCUGGGGCAGGCCUAUGCUAGUUCUGGUCUAUGCUAGUUCUGGGGCAGCUGUAGGCCAGGUCUAUGCCUGUUUCUAUGCUAGUUCUGGGCCAGGUCUAUGCUAGUUCUGGGGCAGCUGUAGGCCAGGUCUAUGCUAGUUCUGGGGCAGCUGUAGGCCAGGUCUAUGCCUGUUUCUAUGCUAGUUCUGGGCCAGGUCUAUGCUAGCUGUGAUCAGCUGGUACCUGGAGUGUCAUUUGACUGCAGACUGCAUC